rnacentral:snRNA from 1 species
AUACUUACCUGGCAGGGGAGAUACCAAGAUCACAAAGGUGGUUUCCCCAGGCUGAGGCUCAUCUAUUGCACUCCAGAUGUGUUGACCCCUGUGAUUUCCUCAAAUGUGGGAAACUGGACUGCAAAAUUUGUGGUAGUGGGGGACUGUGUUCAUGCUUUCCCCUG